GGCAGAUCUACCACCUGACUUCUGGAGAAAAGGAGCCAUGCCCAUGCCUUGAAACACACUUGGUUCUACGGUCACUAGGAAAUUGAUAUCUUGGGAGGUGCUCUACGGGAAUGGUCAGGUUGGAGAGGGAGACUGACUGCCAAGAAGACAUUAAGAAUGACCGAGUGUGAGAAGCUGCGUAACGUCAGCCUUGGCACAGACAGCUACGCCAUCCGAGGCCAAAGUGUACCUCUAAGGGAGCCCCAGUGGUUGGACCAAGCUACCAGGUGGCCUCAGAGGACAGCGAGGGGGCUGAAGCCUGAGGAAUACCUCUUUCUUCCUGGCUGCCCAGAGCCCUGCCCUCAUGCUCACACCACAUUCCUGCAAGGAGACAUUGCCUUGGUCUGCUAACCUGGACCCUCUCAGAGUUGGAAGGGCCUUUUAGAGUAAGUGACUUGCUGGACUCAGACCAGGGUGGCAGAAGUAGAAUCUGCCUUGGGCACCCCUGGAGUCGUUCCCCCUCUUUGGGCCUCCUUUUGCCCAUCUGCACAAAAAGCAUGUUGGGCAACCCAGAGCUUUGUGACGGCUACUUCCUCCACUGUGGCAAGCCAAGACCUCCAGCUCUGGGUGGCUGGCUUCAGAAUCAGCAUAGCGACGCUGUGAUCUCAUGCUGAUUAAGAGCAAGAGAUAACAGCAUAGGUGGGGCUAUGUGGGCCUGGAGUCAGCCGCAUCAGGGUUUGAAUCCAUUUCUGUCACUAGCUAGCCAUGUGACUUUAGGCAGGUCACAACUUCUCUGAGUCUCAUUUAUAUGAUCUGUAAUAAUACCUCAUAGUGUUAUCCUCAGGAUCCAGUGAGACAAUAUGUGUGCAAAACAAGCGUUAC
rnacentral:lncRNA from 1 species